rnacentral:rRNA from 1 species
UACGAAGGGGGCUAGCGUUGUUCGGAUUUACUGGGCGUAAAGCGCACGUAGGCGGAUCGUUAAGUCAGGGGUGAAAUCCUGGAGCUCAACUCCAGAACUGCCUUUGAUACUGAAGAUCUUGAGUUCGGGAGAGGUGAGUGGAACUGCGAGUGUAGAGGUGAAAAUUCGUAGAUAUUCGCAAGAACACCAGUGGCGAAGGCGGCUCACUGGCCCGGUACUGACGCUG